UUGAAGCUCUAGUUGCUAGUUAGACUGGAAAUUAGGCCUUGUUUGGAUCUCUCUGCUUCUCAUAACGUUGGACAAAGGAAGCCCACAAUUUAUGCUCCCCUUUAUCGUUUUCUUUUAUGGUACGGUACUCUAAAAAAACUAUAGGUAACUUUAAUUUUUUUAUCCAAUUCCUUCUCUGUUUAUUAUUUUUUUUAAUAAAAAUUUAUAUUUUAUUAAUUUUUCAAAUAAAAAUUUAUUUUAAAACAGUUUUAACCAAAUAUAUAUUCUUUAAUUUUUUUUAAAUUAUAACUAAAAAAAUAUUUUAAAAACCAUGAUAAGAAAAAACCUACCACAGACACGUAACUAUUAAGAAACAAGGAUCUUGUCUCCAAUAAAUUGUUUAGUGUUUUUUUUCUGUUGAUUGUUGAAAAGCAAAAACAUUGGUGUGGAAGCUACAAGUCAAUGGUGUAAGAUUGGGUUUCACACCCAGAACCCGAGGCCUAAAGUCAGAGGACAGAAAAUCAACCCUUCGUAUAGGCACAGCUAUCUUAAGAUAAUCCCUUGAAAUAAAUGUCAAGAAACAACCAAGGAGAAGAAUAGUAAAAAAUAAAUGAAUAAAUAAAUAAAUAAAUAAAUGUCCAUGAAGCAUGAACCUAAAUUAUCCAGAAGGGCCAUAUAACAAAGCCUUGCUUCCUGGAAAUUCCAUGAAAGGAAAGACCUUUGAGCUUCACCAAUGUGAACAUCUUUUACUUGUUCUUAAUGGUGAUAAAUGUGAACACUGACUCUUCUUACUAUUUGAAUAUGGACUCUGACUUGAUCCUCUCCUCCUGCGAAAGGUCUUACUUCACGCUCUUCUUCUUCUUCUGUUUUUCAGCAGACUUUUUCAUACUUUUCCGUUUCAAGUUAAACCCACGAGUGGCUGCGUUUAUAAUAGUCAAUACUCAAAGUGAAAACAAACAUCUCGAAAGGAAGACCCCAUGAAUCCAUGACGAUGAGCAAGAGUCGCCUCCACGCCAUUAAAUAAUCACCGUCUGGGCCCUCUUGUAGGUGCAUCGAAGACUACAAAGCAAAAACACACAGAAAUAAUAACCUUUGGUGAUGCGCAAGGGAGGGCAAAAGCACAGGAGGGGCAAUGUUGGGGAGUCAAAUCGAAGACGGCUGGCUAGUGGGUCACCGUCACACAACACACCACUUGAAAAAG
rnacentral:lncRNA from 1 species